AACAAAAUAUAUAGAAUGAAAUUCAAAACAGUGUGGCUGUGGCCAUUGAUUGACACAUUAAAUUCAUCCAUUGACUGGGACAAUUUAGAUGAACGUUUGUAUGUAACGACCACUGAUCAUUAUGUACUUUUUAAAGACACUUAAACUAUGGGGUCACCAAAGGUUCUCAACACCCCAAUAAAGUAAUUCGAAAAAAUUAAUCAGAAAUAACACGAUGUUUUGAUUUAUACCAAUUAUAUAAAUCAAAACAUAAAGGUUAUUCCUGAUUAUUUUUUCGAAUUACUUUAUAAUUAAAGGCGUUAAGAAACCUUCGGUGACCCCACAGUUUAAAUGUCUAUCGUAGGUACGUCGUGAACAGUGGUCGUUACAGACAAACGUUCACGUAAAUUGUCCCAGUCAAUGGAUG
rnacentral:lncRNA from 1 species